ACACGACUCUCGGCAACGGAUAUCUCGGCUCUCGCAUCGAUGAAGAACGUAGCGAAAUGCGAUACCUGGUGUGAAUUGCAGAAUCCCGCGAACCAUCGAGUCUUUGAACGCAAGUUGCGCCCGAGACCAUUCGGUCGAGGGCACGCCUGCCUGGGCGUCACG
rnacentral:rRNA from 1 species